rnacentral:lncRNA from 1 species
AUUGUGUCUGAGUUUCCUCACUGAAUGAAUCUCACAGAUGAUCUCUCAGAGCUGAGUUUCCUGGGUUUACAGAUCCUUAAGGAAAAUUCAUUUCUGCUCCUUCCUAUGGAAGACUUGCCUUUCCAAUAGCUGUGAGGUGCAACAUUAUUGCCAUGUGCACUAGAAGUCCUGCCAUCCAAGCUGGAAAAGGAAGAAACAUAGUUGGAGGAAAACCCCAAAUGGAUAAAGCAAUCUGCAGAGCCUAACUAUUUUACCGAUGCCCUAAUUUCUAACUUCCAGAAUAUACAUUUUUAUUUUUGAAAAGCAAACUUUGCUGCUUGAAUCUAGUUUGGAUCUAGGUGGUUUGGGGCAGCCUGCCAGGCUCACAGAUUAAGUGAAAGUCAUUACAAAAUGUUUUUACGCACAUGGGAAUCACAGGGAUUGUUUGGUGCUAGUUUGGCUCUCCACCAUUAAUUUUAAUUAUCUCAAAAUGCAAACAUGCUGAAAUUUCCAGCAGAUGACAUUAUUUUCUCCUUGACAUCAGACAUAAAAGGAAGAAAAAUAAACAUACGACAGUGACAACAUUAAGCUGGUAGGCAUUUUUCUUUAAUAUUUCAAAUUCAAUUCCAGACCAGAUUCUCUGUUUUGUCCUAGAGAUUAGGGUAGGAAGAUUGUCGUCUUGGUCUGAUGAAAGCCUUGCCUUUCCAGUUAGCUUAAUUAAAGGAAAAAGGGAGGAAGCCAGGAGGAGAACAGUCUGGUUUAGAUCAGGGUCAGAGGCUUGGUUUUUACAAACACACCACAGAUUCUUGUUGUUUUAUGUUUUCAACAUUUUUCUGGUUCUUGGUAGAAAGUCCAGUUCCGUUUUCAAAAUGAACUAACCCCGUAGGUCCAGUGACUUGGCACUUUUUUUAAGUGUUUGGUGUUUCUGAUGACAGCAGACCAGAGCCAGGAAGAUUGUGUAGGUUCCCACAUAGUCUCAGGACACGGAGAGAUGAUGGGUAGCUACCAUGGUAAACUAGCAAUGUGGGUACCCUAGUUCUCAAGGUCUAUAACUAGUACCAGAAUUAGAUCAUUUAUCAAAACUUUCUUACACCAUUUAAAAAUUAAUGUGUAAAUUCUAUCUGCUGUGGAGACUAUGUUCAUGCUAAGUCUCUUUACUUCCUCUUGCUAUGUAAUAUGUCGUUUACUGUAUAUUACAAGAAAUGCUAAGUGUGUUCAGCUAUAUACCUAGGGUAACCAACUCAUCCUGACUUGUCUGGGACUUUCCUCAUUUGCCUAAGACCUUUCUGGUUUUAACACUGAAAGUCCUCCAUCCUGGGAAAUCCCUCC